UGAUUGAAUUUGAAUUAUGAAGGUAACUUGUACAUAACUCAUGAACUUUUAAAGGAAAACAAAUGCAUGCCUUUGGCAUCCUUAUCCAUUCAAAUAAGUACUAGUCGUCAAAACAAUUGUAUAACUCAAUGCACAAAUUGGAGUCAUCGUCGCCAGAUUUCAUGCCCUGGUAUAUACUGAUAUAUACACUGCCACCAAAGCAACCGCAUGCACUUUUAUGCUGCGUCCUUAUUUUCUUAUGGCCAAGAGCCUUUUCAGUGGAUUAGGUUACUUAGACAGGUCUUUCUUUUGAGCAAAAAAAAUACAGGUCUUUCUAUCCAUUGAAUGUUCCCAAAAAUACUCUGUUACGUGUUUGUAUU
rnacentral:lncRNA from 1 species